UUUGUACUCCCUCCAUCCCAAAAUUCUUGUCUUAAAUUUGUCUAAAUAUGGAUGUAUCUAGUUACAUUUUAGUGUUAGAUACAUCCGUAUCUAAACAAAUGAAAGACAAGAAUUUUUGGACGAAGGGAAUACUAC
rnacentral:pre_miRNA from 1 species